GACGAACGCUGGCGGCGUGCCUAAUACAUGCAAGUCGAACGAGAGCGACCGGUGCUUGCACUGGUCAAUCUAGUGGCGAACGGGUGAGUAACACGUGGGUAACCUGCCCAUCAGAGGGGGAUAACAUCCGGAAACGGAUGCUAAAACCGCAUAGGUCUUCGAACCGCAUGGUUUGAAGAGGAAAAGAGGCGCAAGCUUCUGCUGAUGGAUGGACCCGCGGUGCAUUAGCUAGUUGGUGAGGUAACGGCUCACCAAGGCCGUGAUGCAUAGCCGACCUGAGAGGGUGAUCGGCACCAUUGGGACUGAGACACGGCCCAAACUCCUACGGGAGGCAGCAGUAGGGAAUCUUCCGCAGUGGACGCAAGUCUGACGGAGCAACGCCGCGUGAGUGAAGAAGGUUUUCGGAUCGUAAAACUCUGUUGUUAGAGAAGAACAAGUGCUAGAGUAACUGUUAGCGCCUUGACGGUAUCUAACCAGAAAGCCACGGCUAACUACGU
rnacentral:rRNA from 1 species